AUUGUUGCUCAGUGCCAAUCGAGUUAGUUUGAGUGAAACUCAAGCACAAUUUUACACAGAAAAAUGAGUCCCUCGUUAGUUAUACUGCUGGCCGCUGUCACAACGAUGGCCCUCGUUAUCGGACUUACCAGAAGUGAGGAUCAGGUUCAGGACCCAACAGGGAUGACCAAAACUUUUAACACCUGGUUUUAUCUUUGUUUACUCGGACUUUGUGGAAGAUAAGUUAAACUUAAAUUUUUUGAAAUUGUAUUGACAAACCUGAUAAACUGUAUCUAAAAUGAAAUGAUGUUUUUUGAUAGAAAAAAAAG